ACAUGGCCAGGGGUCUGGUAGCAGAAAUCAGACCCCUGGUGGAGUAGGGGAGGAGAAGGAGUCCUGGGCAGACACAAAGAAUAUCCAUUCUAAUUCUCACCCACCCUUCUGAUUUUACAUUUAUUUUCCUAGAUAUUUUACUUAAUGGGAAAGUGAUGCCUUGUAUUACGGACCUGAGUAUUCCAGGUAUUGACAUGUAAGAAGACAUUAUGUUGGAUAAUAGGAAGAGCUGUAGAGUUUGCAGGUGUCAACCGUGGCCUUAAUAAGCACACUGAUAGCAUCAAUGCCAGACAGAUGGCACAUGUGGCUGAUGGCUGCCAUAUUGACAUUGCAGUUCUGGAAGAUGGAGAGAUAUAUGACACAAUAAAUUUAAUUAAAAGGUCCUAUUACUGCUGGAUUGUGCAAGAUAUUUAACACUCUUUUCUUUGAGGUAUGACUUAAAUAUCAAACAUCUUAAAUAAGAAAAGGGAAACA
rnacentral:lncRNA from 1 species